UCUAAUGUGACAGACAAAAUGUGCUAGUUUUAAGAACUAUUUAUAGCUAUGCUCUUUAGAA
rnacentral:tRNA from 1 species